CGCAGGCUUGCUAGUCUAAGUCAACUUUUAAGCAUGUUUACAUGUUAAUAAGGGUAUGACAGCAGUUAAUAAUGAAUUGUAAAACUAUUUACGGAUAAGUGAUAUCGAUUUAACGUAAUAAUAUAACUUUUAUGAAGUUAUUUAUGAAGCAAUCAGCCUUCGAUGUUCGUACAUAAAACUUUCGUACACAGUGUCAGGCAAGAUAAAAAAAUUACAACAACAAUGAACAAUUUCAACAAAUGUCUGGAUACCACAAUAUGAUUUCGAACCCAUGGUAAUGCGUGAAUUGAAGUCAGACACCUUACCACCAUGCAACAGUAUCAUCGUGCAUUGGGAAGUAACAGUGAAGCAGAAUACCUACAGUCCAUGAAGUUGAGAAAUGAAGAGAUACAGCUCUGAAUUGUUUAAUACGGUGUUUGGGGAAAACAUUGUGGAUAUGAAGCAUAGAAAUCAUGUGUCAAUGUGAAGUAACAGUAACACAGAAUGGCUAGAGACCAUUAACUUGUGAACUGAAGAGAUGCAGGUCAUUGUUCUAUAUGGUGAUUGAUGGACCCAUGGUGCAGUUUUGUAUUUAUAAGGUAGAUCAUUGAUACAUGUUUUCCAUGCAACCAUAAGAGGUUACUGGCAAGCAGCCUGUGUGAAUAAAGAAUUGGACCAAGGGAACUA